rnacentral:rRNA from 1 species
GGCAGCACGGGAGCAAUCCUGGUGGCGAGUGGCGAACGGGUGAGUAAUAUAUCGGAACGUGCCCAGUCGUGGGGGAUAACGCAGCGAAAGCUGUGCUAAUACCGCAUACGAUCUACGGAUGAAAGCGGGGGAUCGCAAGACCUCGCGCGAUUGGAGCGGCCGAUAUCAGAUUAGCUAGUUGGUGGGGUAAAAGCCCACCAAGGCGACGAUCUGUAGCUGGUCUGAGAGGACGACCAGCCACACUGGAACUGAGACACGGUCCAGACUCCUACGGGAGGCAGCAGUGGGGAAUUUUGGACAAUGGGCGCAAGCCUGAUCCAGCAAUGCCGCGUGCAGGAUGAAGGCCUUCGGGUUGUAAACUGCUUUUGUACGGAGCGAAACGGCUUCCCCUAAUACGGGGAGCUAAUGACGGUACCGUAAGAAUAAGCACCGGCUAACUACGUGCCAGCAGCCGCGGUAAUACGUAGGGUGCGAGCGUUAAUCGGAAUUACUGGGCGUAAAGCGUGCGCAGGCGGUUAUAUAAGACAGAUGUGAAAUCCCCGGGCUCAACCUGGGACCUGCAUUUGUGACUGUAUAGCUAGAGUACGGUAGAGGGGGAUGGAAUUCCGCGUGUAGCAGUGAAAUGCGUAGAUAUGCGGAGGAACACCGAUGGCGAAGGCAAUCCCCUGGACCUGUACUGACGCUCAUGCACGAAAGCGUGGGGAGCAAACAGGAUUAGAUACCCUGGUAGUCCACGCCCUAAACGAUGUCAACUGGUUGUUGGGUCUUCACUGACUCA